UACGAAGGGGGCGAGCGUUGUUCGGAUUUACUGGGCGUAAAGGGCGCGCAGGCGGCAGACCAAGUCAGGCGUGAAAGCCCCGGGCUUAACCUGGGAGUGCGUCUGGGACUGGUAUGCUAGAGUUCGGGAGAGGAGAGUGGAAUUCCCAGUGUAGAGGUGAAAUUCGUAGAUAUUGGGAAGAACACCGGUGGCGAAGGCGGCUACUCUGGACCGAGACUGACGCUGAGGCGCGAAAAGCGUGGGGAGCAAACAGGGAUUAAGAAACC
rnacentral:rRNA from 1 species